GAGGAGGAAAGACUCCAAAAGAAAAAACGCAGAUACAGAGAGAGAAGAAGAAGAGAGUUCCCUCGCCAGACUUAGAGCACCGCCGCAAGCAGAAAGAAAAAUCUAUGGGCAUCACCGCAUCAACACCGUUAGGCUAUAUAUCUGCCACUAUCAGAUUGUCGGAACCGGCUCUGAGUUAGUAUUAGGCAGACUUCCCAAUGAUGACAAUCCUCCCACCAUCAUCAUGUCAGAAUCGCUAACUGUAAGUUACUCUCUUCAUUUUUUAGUUUGUUCAUUAAAUAUGAUCAUAAUUUGAUAUUUUAUUUGGAGUGGUUUCGAUUUAGGUCUUUUCAGUUUGUGCAUUAAAUAUGAUCAAGUUUUUUUAUAUUUGUUUGGAUUGGUUUCAGUUUAGGUCUUUGUGUCUCUCUCACCAAUGUCUGGCAUAUUUUUAAAGAAGAAAAGGAAGAAAAGAGCCUUCAGUUGAGAUAAUGAACCCGUUAAGAAUGUUACACUAUUUAAACAUAGAAGAAAAACACAGAUUGAAAGAGAGAUAAAUCUCAGGGCAGCCACCAUCAUCAUGAAGCUGGAACUGUUACUGGUGAAAAGGCAAAUCCUUGGACACAAUCCAAGUCUGAGUAGAAACAGCACUACCAAGUAUAGUUUCCACUUUAUUUGAACCAUCACCGGCUGAUAUGAAAGGUUUGGAUGGAAUAUUAGGAGCUAGCUAUGUUGGGAUAGAAAUCAUUCUAUAAUUAUGAUGCUCCUAAAGCUAAGAAGCCAAUAACCAGAACAUCCAACUAUUUGCAAAGGUGGUGUUGUUGAUGCUGUAGAUAGAGGAAAAGGAAGGUUAUAAGAAGCCUAUAUAUGAGAUAAAGAAAGGGUAUUUCUUUUUCCAUUGUUAGAGCACUCACAUCAAUGAGUGUAUAAUAGAAAAAUGUGUAAAAUUUACACAGUUUUGUACAAAAAUGACCCACAUUAAUCCAUAUAUAACCGUGUAAAUUUAUAGGUUUGCCAUAUAGUGAUCGUGUAAAUUUAAAGCAAACCUUUAAAUUCA